CCCCCUCAGGCCAGUUCCAGCAGUCCUUCCCGCAGUUGGCCCCGUGGUGUCCCAAAGCCGGAUGCAUACGACAUGAGAGCCGGGCGACCCUGAGGCUGUUUGUCCUGCUGAAAAGCACGUGUAUUUUCUGUUUCUCUGGACAGCACAAUGGUAGAAGCAGAUCAUCCGGGCAAGCUUUUCAUUGGUGGCCUCAAUAGGGAAACCAAUGAAAAGAUGCUUAAAGCAGUAUUUGAGAAACAUGGUCCCAUAUCAGAAGUUCUUUUGAUAAAGGAUCGAACCAGCAAAUCCAGAGGCUUUGCAUUUAUUACUUUUGAGAACCCUGCAGAUGUUAAGAAUGCUGCCAAAGAUAUGAAUGGAGAGAAAUCAUCCAAGCUCCCAAGAAACCAGGGAUUAUGCUCCACCAUCUAGAGGCUAUGCAUACUGUGAUAAUGGUCACUCUAGUCGGGAUGAACAUUCCUCUAGAGGAUAUAGUGAUAGUGGUGGCUACGACGAAACCCGUGGUAGAGAUCAUUCUGAUCGUACAAGUGGAAGUUCUUACAAAAAUGAAUUUCAGGGAUAUGGGACCUCUCAUGGUGCACCACCUGCAAGAGGGCCUCGGAUGUCUUAUGGUGGAAGCAGCCACCCUGAUUAUAACAAUACACGAGAUACAUAGGGCAGAAGUCAAGAAAGUUACUCAAGAAGCUGCGGUGAUUUUUACUUUUGUG
rnacentral:lncRNA from 1 species